rnacentral:lncRNA from 7 species
GGCGUCCAGGUCGGGCUGCGAGAGCGCCCGAAGGUCCACCACGGGGAGCAGCUCCGUCGCCAUUGGGUAUCCGCCGGGGCCGGGGCCGGGUCGUGGAUUGGAUUGGAGAGGGUGAGGUAGGCGGCGGAGGACUGAAGGAGGAGGAGCGGGGACCGAUCCGAGCGUGUCGCUCGCCGAGGAGACUAGAGCAGGGUGGGAUCGGCUUGGGUUGUUGGGGUGUCCCCCAGUUCCAGUUCCACUUCCACUCCCACUUCCACUCCCACUUCCACUUGACCACUUCCACCUCGGAGGAGGCGGAGUGGCGGACGCCGGGCGCCCGGGCGUAACUGUUUCGUUUCUGCUGCAUGGAGUGCUGCGCCUUGUGGGCUUUAGUUGGGCCUUCAGUAGGUGCCUUCUGAAGAUUAGAUGAGCUGUAACCAAACUCACCUGGGCUUUUCGUUGUUGCCAGAUGAACUUUACGUGUUACGUUUUUAUACAAAGAAAA